rnacentral:misc_RNA from 1 species
GAUAAGAACGUAGCGAAAUGCGAUACGUAAUGUGAAUUGCAAAUUCAGUGAAUCAUCGAGUCUUUGAACGCACAUUGCGCCCCCUGGUAUUCCGGGGGGCAUGCCUGUCCGAGCGUCAUUGCUGCCCUCAAGCACGGCUUGUGUGUUGGGCCCCGUCCUCCGAUCCCGGGGGACGGGCCCGAAAGGCAGCGGCGGCACCGCGUCCGGUCCUCGAGCGUAUGGGGCUUUGUCACCCGCUCUGUAGGCCCGGCCGGCGCUUGCCGAUCAACCCAAAUUUUUAUCCAGGUUGACCUCGGAUCAGGUAGGGAUACCCGCUGAACUUAAGCAUAUCAAUAAGCGGAGGA